rnacentral:rRNA from 1 species
AGCGAACGCUGGCGGCAGGCUUAACACAUGCAAGUCGAACGCCCCGCAAGGGGAGUGGCAGACGGGUGAGUAACACGUGGGAACGUACCCUUUGGUUCGGAAUAACUUGGGGAAACUCAAGCUAUUACCGGAUCAGCGUCUAUGGGGAAAGGUUUACUGACGGAGGAUCGGCCCGCGUCUGAUUAGGUAGUUGGGGAGUGAAUGGCGCACCAAGGCGACGAUCAGUAGCUUGGCUGAGAGGAUUAUCAGCCCCACCUGGACUGAGACACGGCCCAGACUCCUACGGGAGGCAGCAGUGGGGAAUAUUGGACAAUGGGGGCAACCCUGAUCCAGCCAUGCCUCGUAAGUGAUGAAAGCCUUAGGGUUGUAAAGCUCUUUUACCCGGGACGAUAAUGACUGUACCGGGAGAAUAAGCCCCGGCUAACUUCGUGCCAGCAGCCGCCGUAA